GGUUGCGAUCAUACCAGC
rnacentral:rRNA from 2 species